UGGUAUGAUCAUAGCUGACUGCAGCCUCAAA
rnacentral:piRNA from 1 species